AUGAAGUCUCCUCUCGAGGUGUUGCUUCAUGAAACUCCAGAUUACUCCUUUCUUAAAGUGUUUGGUUGUGCGUGUUGGCCACAUCUUCGUCCGUACAACAAGCAUAAACUUGAGUAUCGAUCAAAAAAAUGUGUGUUCCUUGGGUACAGUCCUCUCCACAAAGGUUACAAGUGUCUCCACAUUCCAACGAAUCGUGUUUACAUUUCCCGUGAUGUUGUGUUCGAUGAGACUGUCUUCCCUUUUUCCACGCUCACAUCUUCCACUGAUACUCCCGUCACCGAGUUGCACUCUUUUCCAGUUUUGCUUGAUCAGUUUGUGGAUGCUGCAUAUUCUCCUCUGUUGUUGCCUAACCAUAGUGCAGGGACUGGAUGA
rnacentral:rRNA from 1 species